GUAUUGUUGAAGAGUCUCAGGCAACAGGACGAAACAGCUGUCUAGUAC
rnacentral:hammerhead_ribozyme from 1 species